GCUCCAGUACACCUACUCUAAAUUAAUUUGAGAAAAAAAAAAUGGAUUGGGUAUAAUCAAUAGACACAACUUGUAAAGCAUACGUAAUGCACUGUAACAGUUUGGUUCUCGGAAAGGUUUGUCUCAUUGUGAACCUGUCAUUGUUGUUAUUUGUUUCUAUGACGUCCCUUUCCAUUGGAACACAAAAUGUUCAGGGCCUGAACUCAUCAUCUGUUUGCCUGAAAUGUACAGGAGAACAUUAAAGGUAUUGACAUACUGAUAUCACUGGAAACAUGGUGUAAAUAAGACAAAUUCACUCGCUGUCCCCAAGACUAUAAAGAAAUAAUAGUAUCAUCACCAAAACUCAGCACAGUACAGCAGGGAGGUUUGGUAACGAGGUACAAAUCAAACUGCCACAUCGGCGUCAUGAAAACAGGCGAAUAUCAUAUCUGGCUAAAAUUCUGGAAAGAAGAAAAAAAAGAUCUCUUUUGAAUCUCCCUAUUACAAUGAUGACACAUUUACAUUAGAGAUAAGAAACUAGCUAUUUCCAGGCCCAGGGAAAUGUUCUUUUUUGAGGAGACCUAAAAGCACUGGACAGGCACCCAAAAUGACUCUGUAAGUACUGAUUUAGUUUACUCCCACAUCAGGACCAGCGAUCCAGUUAUAAACAGACAAAGGGAGCAUAAUGGAAGAUACCUUUGGAAGACACACAUUUUGCUCACCUUGGGAAUAGCACAGUAGAUUGCGUGAUAACCUAAAUGGUGAUCCUUGGUGACUACUGUUGAUUGUAAUAUCUGCAGUGACUGCUGGUGAUUGUAGUGUCCUUGGUGACUGCUGGUGAUUGUAGUGUCCUUGGUGACUGCUGGUGAUUGUAGUGCAGUGACUCUGCUGGUGAUUGUAGUGUCCUUGGUGACUGCUGGUGAUUCUAGUGUCCUUGGUGACUCUGUCUCUGGAUUGGCAUCUCAUCCAGUGUCAAUAGACUGCAGAGAUCCUGGGGAGUUUGGCGCAGAUGAUUGGCUGUGCGUCACUCUAGAAGUAUCCUUGUUGUCAUGCUCUUGCAUCAUUCAAGUGGAGGGGGCUGGGCAUUCCUCUGUUCCAGCUUGUUGGGGUGCUUGUUUUAGUUCUUGUAGGGGCACUUGUUUUGGUUCUUGUGUGGGGACUUGUUUUGGUUCUUGUAGGGGCACUUGUUAUGGUUCUUGUUGUAUUCCUCUUGUCCACUCUGUACAGCGGCCGAGUAGCUGAGAAGCUAGCUGGGUUGACCACUGAUCUCUUCACAGGAGGGAAUUGUGGGAAAUUGUUUGUCCUCCAUGCCAGACACUGUGCAUCCUGGCAUCACUCUGACCUGGGCACCCGCACCUCCCUCUGUGCCCCCAGUUGCUAAUGAGUAAAAUAGGAUCCUCUCUCUGCGUGUGUGUGUGUGUGUGUGUGUGUGUGUGUGUGUGUGUGUGUAUGUGUGUGCGUGUCUGUGUCUGUGUGUGUCUGUGUGUGUGUGUGUGUGUGUGUGUGUGUGUUUGUGUGUGUGUAUGUGUAUGGUCGCUUCUCUGUCUGUCAGUGCUGAAUGGAACUGGGAUAACCCAGUGAGGGAGAGAGGAGAGAGGGAAAGAAAAAGAGAGAGAGAGAAAGAGGGAGGGAGGGAGAGAAAAGGAGAGCGAGAGAAAGAGGGAGGGAGAGAGAGAAAGAGGGAGGGAGGGAGGGAGGG
ensembl:lncRNA